UGGAAGUAAAAGUCGUAACAAGGUUUCCGUAGGUGAACCUGCGGAAGGAUCAUUAUCGAUACUAUACUAUACUGUGGAACUUUAUUCGUUUAACUAAUCAUCCAACYAACUAAUAACUAUCAACAACGGAUCUCUUGGCUCUCACAUCGAUGAAGAACGCAGCGAACCGCGAUAUUUUUUGUGACUUGCAGAUGUGAAUCAUCAAUCUUUGAACGCACAUUGCGCGGUGUGGUAUUCCGCACCGCACGGAUGGAAGAGCGUGUUCCCUUUGGGAUCGCAUUGCUUUCUUGAAAUGAAUCUAUUACUUCAAUAAACUCAUUUCACCUCUUUCAUCCGAGAUUACCCGCUGAACCUAAGCAUAUCAAUAAGCGGAGGA
rnacentral:misc_RNA from 1 species